GCGAUUUGUGAAUGCUGACGAGUCUUAAACAUAAUGCAUCUCUUCUUUUCCAGGGCCCGAGUGGAAACCUACUGGUCAGGGUUGAGAGAGAUAGUUGUCUAUGAUCACGACAGUGGCGUAUUCAUACGUCUGUGACUCCAGUUCGAAAAGUUUAAGCUAAGAUCUUAUCAAAUUUACUCUCUAGCAAUGUUUUGAAUCGU
rnacentral:lncRNA from 1 species